UGGGGAAUAUUGCACAAUGGGCGCAAGCCUGAUGCAGCCAUGCCGCGUGUGUGAAGAAGGCCUUCGGGUUGUAAAGCACUUUCAGCGAGGAGGAAGGUGGUGGACUUAAUACGUUCAUCAAUUGACGUUACUCGCAGAAGAAGCACCGGCUAACUCCGUGCCAGCAGCCGCAGUAAUACGGAGGGUGCAAGCGUUAAUCGGAAUUACUGGGCGUAAAGCGCACGCAGGCGGUUUGUUAAGUCAGAUGUGAAAUCCCCGGGCUCAACCUGGGAACUGCAUUUGAAACUGGCAAGCUAGAGUCUCGUAGAGGGGGGUAGAAUUCCAGGUGUAGCGGUGAAAUGCGUAGAGAUCUGGAGGAAUACCGGUGGCGAAGGCGGCCCCCUGGACGAAGACUGACGCUCAGGUGCGAAAAGCGUGGGGAGCAAACAGGAUUAGAUACCCCUGGUAGUCCACGCUGUAAAACGAUGUCGAUUUUGGAGGUUGUGCCCUUGAGGCGUGGCUUCCGGAGCUAACGCGUUAAAUCGACCGCCU
rnacentral:rRNA from 1 species